GGGCGAGUGGCGAAAUUGGUAGACGCGCAAGACUUAGGAUCUUGUGGAGCAAUCCGUGGGGGUUCGAGUCCCUUCUCGCCCA
rnacentral:tRNA from 1 species